rnacentral:rRNA from 1 species
AGCGAACGCUGGCGGCAGGCUUAACACAUGCAAGUCGAACGGGCACUUCGGUGCUAGUGGCAGACGGGUGAGUAACGCGUGGGAACGUGCCUUUCGGUUCGGAAUAAUCCAGGGAAACUUGGACUAAUACCGGAUACGCCCUUCGGGGGAAAGAUUUAUCGCCGAAAGAUCGGCCCGCGUCUGAUUAGCUAGUUGGUGAGGUAAAGGCUCACCAAGGCGACGAUCAGUAGCUGGUCUGAGAGGAUGAUCAGCCACAUUGGGACUGAGACACGGCCCAAACUCCUACGGGAGGCAGCAGUGGGGAAUAUUGGACAAUGGGCGCAAGCCUGAUCCAGCCAUGCCGCGUGAGUGAUGAAGGCCUUAGGGUUGUAAAGCUCUUUUGUCCGGGAAGAUAAUGACUGUACCGGAAGAAUAAGCCCCGGCUAACUUCGUGCCAGCAGCCGCCGUAAAAC